rfam:Cavia porcellus supercont2_30 genomic scaffold, whole genome shotgun sequence.
AUCCUUUGGUUCAUGAGCGUGAUGAUUGUGUGUUCAUGUCGUAUGCAUGAGAUGUGCCUCCCUCAAGCCUUGUUACGACAUCAACACAUUGUCCGUCUGAUG